GAUGAACGCUGGCGGCGUGCCUAAUACAUGCAAGUCGAGCGAACAGACGAGGAGCUUGCUCCUCUGACGUUAGCGGCGGACGGGUGAGUAACACGUGGAUAACCUACCUAUAAGACUGGGAUAACUUCGGGAAACCGGAGCUAAUACCGGAUAAUAUAUUGAACCGCAUGGUUCAAUAGUGAAAGACGGUUUUGCUGUCACUUAUAGAUGGAUCCGCGCCGCAUUAGCUAGUUGGUAAGGUAACGGCUUACCAAGGCAACGAUGCGUAGCCGACCUGAGAGGGUGAUCGGCCACACUGGCACUGAGACACGGUCCAGACUCCUACGGGAGGCAGCAGUAGGGAAUCUUCCGCAAUGGGCGAAAGCUUGACGGAGCAACGCCGCGUGAGUGAUGAAGGUCUUCGGAUCGUAAAACUCUGUUAUUAGGGAAGAACAAAUGUGUAAGUAACUAUGCACGUCUUGACGGUACCUAAUCAGAAAGCCACGGCUAACUACGUG
rnacentral:rRNA from 1 species